UACGUAGGCAGCGAGCGUUGUUCGGAUUCAUUGGGCGUAAAGGGUGCGUAGGCGGCGCGGUAAGUCGGGUGUGAAAUCUCGGGGCUUAACUCCGAAACUGCAUUCGAUACUGCCGUGCUUGAGGACUGGAGAGGAGACUGGAAUUUACGGUGUAGCGGUGAAAUGCGUAGAUAUCGUAAGGAAGACCAGUGGCGAAGGCGGGUCUCUGGACAGUUCCUGACGCUGAGGCACGAAGGCCAGGGGAGCAAACGGG
rnacentral:rRNA from 1 species